GAUGAAGAACGUAGCAAAAUGCGAUAAGUAAUGUGAAUUGCAGAAUUCAGUGAAUCAUCGAAUCUUUGAACGCACAUUGCGCCCGCCAGUAUUCUGGCGGGCAUGCCUGUUCGAGCGUCAUUUCAACCCUCAAGCACAGCUUGGUGUUGGGACUCGCGUUAAUUCGCGUUCCCCAAAUUGAUUGGCGGUCACGUCGAGCUUCCAUAGCGUAGUAGUAAAACCCUCGUUACUGGUAAUCGUCGCGGCCACGCCGUUAAACCCCAACUUCUGAAUGUUGACCUCGGAUCAGGUAGGAAUACCCGCUGAACUUAAGCAUAUCAAUAACCGGAGGA
rnacentral:misc_RNA from 1 species